AUAGGUGCUGAAAUGCUUUUGAAGUUGUGGACAUUAGGACCAUCUAAGAAGCCCUCUUCAUGCAAAUGCUGCUCUCUAAGAUUCAAAUAAACCAUCUGGAUAAAGGUUAAGGGCAGAGAGACACAAUUCAAGGGCAGGUAACAGCUGGAUGGUGAUGGCCAUUUCAGGACUGCCCUUUUUUCCCAGCCCUAUCAGGGGAAUUGUUCGGAGUUCAGACUGAAGGAGAAGAGGAGCUAAAGGAAGAGGCCUCAGAAACAAUCAGCAGAAACAAAAAGCAGCACAGAGGAGACCACUCAGGGAAGAGUUUGACUUCAGCGAUGUGUGCAUUGGACUGAGCUGUGCUUUCCUUUAAUUGUGUGGGUGUGGCAAAGAAAGCCUUUGUUGUUGUUUUUUAAAAUUUAUUACUGACAGCUGUUAGAUGAAUGUGGAGGUGUGCAGUUUCAGCAGCAAUGCACAGACACCAGAGCUGCAUUUGCUUUAGGAGAUUUAGAGAAAUAUUAAUGGCUGUCUCUGGGAACUACUGCUGGAAGGGAUGCUGAGUGUGCCACCUUCUGCCACGCAGAGCUAAAGUGGAGAAGAGAGUGCUGGAGACUGUUUGAAAGCUGAUGUGAUUUCAUUGGUUUCAACAAUAUUAUUAUCACCAAUUAACUCAGGUCCAAAGAGAACUUGUACAGCAUUUUUCAUGUAUUCCUCUGCAGGUUUCUUCCCAUAUCAAGUACAGCAGUUUGAAAGAGCAGCAUCAUGUCCUUAGAACUUACCAGUAGAGAGAAAAUGUUUACAGCUUGUCUCUGAACAGCCCUGCAUGGAUGAUGGAACACUUCUGAAAGAAUAUCUGUGAAGGAAAUAAACCCAUUAAUUGAACAGAAUUACUGCUCGCCAAAGCUACACGUUUGAGAGGAGGACACUGCUGGAUAGAUGAUAGAAAGGGCAGUGACUUGUCUGCAGUGUUUCUUCUGUCCAUCUAAAGUACUGGUGUACAGCUGCUUCCCUCCAUGUCAAAUUUAUGUUGUUUUCCAUUAUUCACACAGACUGAGGACUAAAAAUCAGAUGCUGUCAGUCAUUAUUUAUGAAUAUAUGGAAGUGUGCCACUGAGUUACACAGCCUGUUAAUGGAAUCAGUCCAGAACUUUCCAUUACCUGUUCUUCACUGGAAAACUUGGGACUUAAAAUUGGUUAUGUCUGAUUCCUAAGAAGCAAACUCAC
rnacentral:lncRNA from 1 species